UGGGGAAUUUUCCGCAAUGGGCGCAAGCCUGACGGAGCAACGCCGCGUGAGGGAUGAAGGCCUCUGGGCUGUAAACCUCUUUUAUCAAGGAAGAAGAUCUGACGGUACUUGAUGAAUAAGCCACGGCUAAUUCCGUGCCAGCAGCCGCGGUGAUACGGGAGUGGCAAGCGUUAUCCGGAAUUAUUGGGCGUAAAGCGUCCGCAGGCGGUUUUACAAGUCUGUCGUUAAAACGUGGAGCUCAACUCCAUUUCGGCGAUGGAAACUGUAAGACUAGAGUGUGGUAGGGGCAGAGGGAAUUCCCGGUGUAGCGGUGAAAUGCGUAGAUAUCGGGAAGAACACCAGUGGCGAAGGCGCUCUGCUGGGCCAUAACUGACGCUCAUGGACGAAAGCCAGGGGAGCGAAAGGGAUUAGAUACCCCUGUAGUC
rnacentral:rRNA from 1 species